CUGCUGCCGAGAGUUGUUCACUGU
rnacentral:miRNA from 1 species